GAUGUCCGAAAAGGGAUAGGAUGGAGGACGGGCCCGAUUUAAGUCACUUGACUCCAGAAGAGAGGGCUAUCAUCGAAUCUGUUAUGGUCCGACAGAAACAAGAGGAAGAACGCGAACAGGAAAUUAUGAGACGAAAGGCUGACGAGGUGCAGAUAUUGGAGGACACGAUACGGGCGAGGAACGAGCAGCACAAGAAGGCGGGCAUCGAGCUCGAUGCCACGUGUCACAUAUGCCUCAAGACCAAGUUCGCUGACGGCGUCGGCCACUUGUGCAACUACUGCUCCAUCAGAUGUUGCGCCAGGUGCGGCGGAAAAGUCACCCUCCGAUCCAAUAAGGUUGUGUGGGUGUGCAUCCUGUGCCGCAAGAAGCAAGAGCUGCUCAGCAAGACUGGCCAAUGGAUGCUGGGCACGCCGCAGGACGCCGAACACCCCCAGAUCCAGCAGGCGCCGUCGGACAAACGGCCGAAGCUGGAGCGGGCCCAUUCGGCGGCCGAGAAGGAGAACCAACCGUUGCAACGAUCGGGCAGCGUGCUGCGCCGCCAGUACUCCGAGCAGGAGCCCCGCGCGCCUUCCUGCGAACGGUACCAGCAGCAGUACAAUGAGGAGGACCCCCGGUACUAUCAGGGCGAGCUGGAGGGCCUCAUGAGGACCCAUCCCCAUCUGGUCCCAAGAAGGUAUCCGGAUCCGGAGCCUGAUCCGUCAGUGAUGGACCAUUCGCAGCAAAGAUUGCCGUCAUCAAGUGCCAAUAAGAAACAUAAAAGAAGUGGUUCCACGAAGAAUAGACAACAUACACCGCAAGUGCAAAUUCAGAGGUCUUUCAGCAGUUCCGAAGAAGAUCUGAAGUCGACACCAGAAUAUGGCAGCGAUGAAAGAGACAGCGAAAAAGGAAAUAAUGGCGAUUGGCCGCCACUGAGCCAAUAUAUCGUGGCGCCGCACCAGUCGCACAGGCCGCUGCAGGACGUGACGGCCGACAACAGAUGUUUCACCGAGCGCAGAAAGAAAACGGUCAGGUUUGAUCAGCAUGACGGUAGGCAGGGUUCCCAGGAUUCCCACAGGGAUUCGGGAAUCGACACGUCGUCGACGUUCACAUCGAGCGAGGACUCGACGAGAGGAGACUUGCCCAAGCAUCCCCUAUCGUGGCAAGUCUCCGCCGACGGCACGAGAAUGAUCGGGCACAUGAUUUUGCGAAGAGGAAGGGACAUGAACGGAAGCAGUGCGGCCAUAUUGGGCCUCAAGGUGGUCGGAGGGAAAAUUUUAGAAAACGGGUUUAAAGGCGCGGUCAUUGAGAAAGUUAAAAAGGGUAGCAUCGCCGACGUGGAGGGACAACUGAGACCAGGCGACGAGGUGAUAGAAUGGAACGGAAGGUCGUUGCAGGGCAAGUCGUACCAGGAAGUGUCGGACAUAAUCGCUGAGAGUAAGCAAGAACAAAACGUGGAACUAAUAGUUUCCAGGAGCAUGGGCAACCGAAGGGCAGCCCAGGCGAAUUGGAGGCAAUCGGUCGCUCAAAGAGGCCAGCCGGGCGGGCAGUGGCACCAGCAGGACAGCGAGCUGUACGAACGGCCCCACGUCCUGGUCACGUCGCCGGGCAGUCCGGAACGGCAGGAGACGGCGCCGUCGCUGGCGCCCAGCGUCGGCGGCCGCGUCCAAGUGCGUCUCGGCUUCGACCCCACCACCCUCCAGCUGCUCGUGACCAUCGUGUGCGCCAGCGGUCUGACGCCGCGGUCGCCCCACCAGCCCCGCAAUCCCUACUGCAAGCUGUUCCUGCUGCCCGACCGGAGCGAGAAGAGCAAACGGAGGACGAGGACGUUGGCCGGUACCACGGAACCUAUGUGGAACCAAACGUUCGCGUACGCCGGCCUACGUCGCUCCGACCUGCGUCUACGCGCCCUCGAGAUCACCGUCUGGGACUACGUCCGGUACGGCGCCAACGACUUCCUCGGCGAGGCCAUCGUCGAACUGUGGCCGCUCGACGAACAGCCCACCUGGCGCACGCUCGGACCGCACGAGGAGGUCGCCCUGACGCCGAGCGAGCACCUGUCGCCGCCCAGCACCGGGUCCCGGUUCUCCGACAGCGACACGCCGUCCGAGUGCGAGAUCGACGGGAACAGGGAGCGGCGCGGCGCCGAUGGCGCCAGCGUCUCCAGCGUGGGCAGCUCCACCAGUCCGCCCAGGGACACGGACCGCAGGUCGAGGCGGGACCAGGAGGUAGCCUAUAAUCCGGGAUACAGAAGAGGCGGAAUGGCUGGCCAAAGGUCGCGUUCGGCCGCGCCCUGCGAAUCGCCCAAUGUACAUAUGCCCAGAUCCAGGUCGAAGUCGCCCCGAAGAUCAGCCACCGACCACCGAUCGUUGUCACCGCCCGACGUCCGAGUGUCCGAUUACCCUCCAACCACCUACAACGUGACCCGCUUCCAGUCCAGAUCCGCCACCGCAACACCAACAGGUUCACCAAAGAAACGCCAACUCCCUCAAGUGCCACACGCAUUGGCGCGCGCCCUCCAGGAGCGCGUCGCCCAAGACCUGGACGGUUCAAACCACAACCGGCACCAUCGGAUGCGCUACAUCCACACCUACCGUUCGACCGGCUCCGGUUGGGAGCGACGCUACACCGGACUGAGCGACAGCGACCUGGCCAACCACACCAGGACCAACCGCCGUUCCCAGUCCCCGGACAGGGACCGCGAUCCCCUGGGUCUGGUCGACUUCGACAGCGACAUGGAGUCGGUCAACUCGGUGACCAGCAGCACGUUCUCCACGCAGAGCGAGAGGCCCAGGGGAACGAGGACCACCAGUGCGGACUACGGCAGCAAUAGCGACAGAUACAUGUAUACGGGUCAUCGUGCACCUCCGAGACAAAUGAGAGACAGAGACCAAGAUCUGAGGGAUCCGUUGGAGCCCUUGGACCAGCACCACAAUCACCAUCACCACCACCAUCACCACCAUCAUCAUCGAGAGAAUAGCGUUAAACGCGGACAGUUCACUAGGAGUUUGUCCAACACCGAACCACCUCCGGACGAGAAAACAGUUCACUUUUUAGAUGGGAGCCUUAGUGACACAGCCGUCGGCCAGCACGGCUUGGAAAUACCGCAGAAGGAGAACAUGAGGAAGGAGAGCCAAAGGGACAGGGACAGGCAGGCCCAAUUCGUGGGGCUGAGCAAAAAGAGCAACUCCACGAGUCAGUUGUCAGCCACAGGUAGAAAACGAAGGAUGGGCUUUGGUAGAAGAGGAAAAACGUCGUUUACUGUACAUAGAUCAGAAGAGGUGCUUCCUGGCGAUGUUAGAUUGUCCAAACAAGGGUCGUCGGCUUCUAGCGAUGGGGAAGGGUCGAUAGAUGGUGACAGGUGGUCACCGUCGCUUCGGUUAGCCGGAGAGGGAGGUCAACUGGCGGAAUUCAUCGACGGUUUAGGGCCUGGCCAGCUGGUGGGCAGACAAGUCCUGGGGGCGCCGGCCCUAGGUGACAUACAGCUCUCGUUGUGCUACCAAAAGGGGUUUUUGGAAGUGGAGGUGAUACGAGCGAGAGGUCUGCAGUCCAGGCCAGGAUCCAAAGUUUUACCAGCUCCGUACGUCAAAGUGUACCUAGUAAACGGGAAGAAGUGCAUAGCCAAAGCAAAAACAUCAACGGCCAGGCGAACACUGGACCCCCUGUAUCAACAACAACUAGCCUUCAGAGAGAACUUUCAGGGUUGCAUCCUUCAGGUGACGGUGUGGGGAGAUUACGGUCGGAUCGAGGGCAAAAAAGUGUUCAUGGGUGUGGCGCAGAUAAUGUUGGACGACCUGAACUUAAGCAACAUCGUUAUCGGAUGGUACAAACUGUUCGGGACGACCUCGCUGGUUAGUGGACCCCCUUCACUAGGUCUCUCAAGACUCGGUUCAAUGGCUAGUUUAGACUCCCUCAAGUUUUAAACAAUCUAAAACUGUACCACCCUUCCACCACCAUCAAAGUCACCAAGCUCUAUUGUUUUGUUGUUUUUUGAUUUUUGUUACUACAUGUGUGACGAGAACUUACUGUAGUGAACAUAAUUAUUUAUUUAUAGGUAAACAAUUACUUUUUAUAUCAAAUUCUGGCACCUGAAACUGUACCAGUGAGAUACAGGACGGGAAGGUUUACCAUAAUGGCAGGCCUGUUGAUCAAACUAAAAAAACAUAGUGAGGAAGAACCGCUGUUACCUGAAUUCUGUCGGAAUAAAAUAAAAGUGUUAUACCAUGUUAUUAACCAUUUAUAUAAAGACAGUUAUUUAAAAAAUUAUUGCUCAGGAUAUUUUUGAGCGCCAGUGACCUUUGUAAAUUAUAAAAUAUACCUAAGACUAUAUCCCCUGACAAGCUUUGGUGGGUUCCAUGAAAUCUAACAAGCCAUUGCCUGAAAAUAUUGUGAGCAAACACGAAAAAAUUGUUAAAAAAUUUAAAAAUAUAUCAGAUAUUUAUUACAGGUGCGUAUAACUUUUAAAGAAAAAAAACUAGCCGAUUUAGUAGUAAAAAAAAAACAAAAUAGUAAAAUAGUAGUGUAAGAAAUUGAUGAGAAUGAACAACGUGUAGAUAUAUGCGCACAUAUAUAAAUAGUGUCACUUAAAAAAAUCAUAUCCAAAUAUUAAUUAUAUAAAUUGUGUGUGGGGCUAUGUGAAAGGAUUGUUGCUUCAGUUACUACGGGAAAUUCAAUGAUUUAUUAUCGAAGAUCCCCACUUUUCCAUUUCUACAAUUAUUAUUAUUAUUAUUUGUUGACAGUGAUUGUUUAAAUUGACGAAAAAUAACUCGGUCUUCCUUGUGUCCCCAACGAGUUCGUUUAUUGUUACUAUUAUUCAAGUUUUCGAUGACAACCUGUAAGAACAACGAAGAACUGCAAACAAGAACGUUUUCUGAUAGCCCCGUACACUACAAUGCUUCAUUGGAAUUGAAACAUGCUUUUUUACUUGAAAUUUAAAAAUAUAUCGAAGAUAUAUAGAUCAUGUUAAUGAUAACUAUGUAAAUUAAAUUAUUAUGAUAGUACUGUAUAAUAACAUUUACUGUACAAUAUUAUUAUAUUAUUUAGACUUAAUCAUUGUUGAAUUGCAUGUGAUAUACUUUUUAUGUUUUACAGGGUGUACGUACGUUAACUACGCCUGUUUUUAUUCACUUAACCCCUUUUGAAACAUCCCCUAAGUUACUUAUACAAAUAUAUGUAUUCACUUAAAGCAUAAACUGUGGUAUUUGUAUUCAUGAAACUGUCCUGAAAAAGUGAAUGAAAACACGUGCAGAUAAUCGAAUUUAUAUAAUUAACCAAAAAAUCACCCCUGUGUAAAAUGUACUGUUAAUGUUUUUUAAGUUGAUUGAGAGGAAAAAAUGAAAUUUUAUAUAUAUAUAUAUAUGUCAGAAACGAAGUUUUGUUGAUUUGCGAGAUUUUGUGAUCCCGCUUAAUUAUGAUGAUUAUUGAACGCGAACAGAUAUAUCAUUUACGUUCCGUAUAUGUUUUUCGGCGUCGACCGCCCCAAACGGUUACCCUUAGAAUGAGAUAGACAUUUUAUUGUUUGUAUCUAUCAUACGAUGAACCUUUUGGAUACCGUUCAUAAAUUUAGUAACCGUUCGGGGGGAUGUGCAAUUUAAAGUGUUAAGAAAAUAUAUAUUUAUACGAAAAAACAAUAUAACAAACCCUUUGACUAUAUUGAUAAUGUGUAAUACACUCAUGUACAGAGACAUCGAGCAAAUGUAGUGUCAAGAUUUUUUUAUUGAAUUAGAGAAAAAAAUAAUUGUCACCCGUGAAUUUUAUCUGUGUCACAUACACAAGACGGUUAUCGAUGUGGGUAAACAUGAGUAUUUUCCUGAAAGAAACUAAAUCGCCGCUUAAUCUUCUCAUUAAAACUUAGCUUUAACAUGCCCGACAUGUUAUCAAUCGACUUGUGUAUGUAAGGAUGAUUUUGUACAGUAGAAUUAAAACAAAAUCAGUUCUGUUCUCGUGUUUCGUUGUUUAAUAAAUAAUUUACCCCCCCCCUCCUCAAGAAAAAACACAUUUAUUGGUUGUAACAAUAAAUCAAUAUUCAGUAAUUAUAGUUAAUUAAUCCGAAACAGGUUAUGUGAAAUUCAAUAACUGUGUAAACUAUUUAGGCACCCAAUGACAAUUUUUACUGUUUGGAUUUAUCUGCGUAUUAGAUUUUUUGAGUAUAGGAAAAGAUAGAGCUUUGCAAGAGAAGUUUCCGAUUAUAAGUUCACUGUAUUAUUGUUUAUUGUUCAAAAUUGUAAUCCGGGCUUUGCCCCCAAACAAUUGCCUAAUGCAACAACGUGUAUCGCAGUUUGAAAUUCAACAAAUUCGUUAUAAAGUGCAGUUCCGAUUCCCUCCUCAACAGUCAAAUUCGACGGCAAUUGGUUGAGACGCAAAGGCUGGACCGUUUUGUCUUACAGAAAUUUAAUGGAAUAUAAAAAGAAAAGACAAAUCGCAUAUCAUUGGAGAAGCGCGUCCACUGAUUUUGUCCAUUUUGAUAAGUUAGUUCACUCUUGACUGAAUUUCCAAUUUUAUCCAAGCCCAAGGGCAUGACAAUAAAUGAAUGAUCUA